rnacentral:rRNA from 1 species
UACGGAGGGUGCAAACGUUGCUCGGAAUCAUUGGGCGUAAAGCGCACGUAGGCGGCUCGUUAAGUCGGAUGUGAAAGCCCUCGGCUCAACCGAGGAAGUGCAUUCGAUACUGGCGAGCUUGAAUAUGGAAGAGGGUCGCGGAAUUCCCGGUGUAGAGGUGAAAUUCGUAGAUAUUCGCAAGAACACCAGUGGCGAAGGCGGGUCUCUGGACAGUUCCUGACGCUGAGGCACGAAGGUCAGGGGAGCAAACGGG